rnacentral:rRNA from 1 species
GAAAAGAAACCAACAGGGAUUGCCCCAGUAACGGCGAGUGAAGCGGCAACAGCUCAAAUUUGAAAUCUGGCCCCCAGGGCCCGAGUUGUAAUUUGCAGAGGAUGCUUUUGGCGCGGUGCCUUCCGAGUUCCCUGGAACGGGACGCCAUAGAGGGUGAGAGCCCCGUCUGGUCGGACGCCUAGCCUGUGUAAAGCUCCUUCGACGAGUCGAGUAGUUUGGGAAUGCUGCUCUAAAUGGGAGGUAUAUGUCUUCUAAAGCUAAAUACCGGCCAGAGACCGAUAGCGCACAAGUAGAGUGAUCGAAAGAUGAAAAGCACUUUGAAAAGAGGGUUAAAUAGUACGUGAAAUUGUUGAAAGGGAAGCGCUUGUGACCAGACUUGGGCCCGGUGGAUCAUCCAGCGUUCUCGCUGGUGCACUCCGCCGGGUUCAGGCCAGCAUCAGUUCGCCGCGGGGGAAAAAGGCUUCGGGAACGUGGCUCCUACGGGAGUGUUAUAGCCCGUUGCAUAAUACCCUGGGGCGGACUGAGGUUCGCGCUCCGCAAGGAUGCUGGCGUAAUGGUCAUCAGCGC